UUCUGGUUGAUCCUGCCAGAGGCGACCGCUUUUGGAGUUCGAUUAAGCCAUGCGAGUCAGCGGGGCCCUUCGGGGUCAGCGCGGCAUACUGCUCAGUAACACGUGGAUAACCUGCCCUAUCGUUCGGAAUAACCUCGGGAAACUGAGAAUAACGACAGAUAGUUCACAAUGCCUGGAACGGUUUGUGGAUGAAGAUAGGAUGGGUCUGCGGCGUAUCAGGUUGUAGGGGGUGUAACGGACCCCCUAGCCAUCGACGCGUACGGGUGUUGGGAGACAUAGCCCGGAGAUGGAUUCUGAGACACGAAUCCAGACCCUACGGGGUGCAGCAGGCGCGAAAACUUCACAAUGCAGGAAACUGUGAUGAGGGAACUCCAAGUGUGUGCAUUUUAUGUACACUUUUCUGAACUCUUAAUCGGUUCAGGAAUAAGGGCUGGGAAAGACCGGUGCCAGCCGCCGCGGUAAUACCGGCAGCUCAAGUGGUCGUCGCUUUUAUUGGGCCUAAAACGUCCGUAGCCUGUUUGGUAAAUCUGUGGGUAAAUCAACCAGCUUAACUGGUUGAAUUCUGCAGAGACUGCCAGACUAGGGACCGGGAGAGGUGUGGGGUACUCGAGGGGUAGGGGUAAAAUCCUGUCAUCCUUCGAGGACCACCAGUUGC
rnacentral:rRNA from 1 species